rnacentral:rRNA from 1 species
AAGUUAAGCUCUUUAGCGCUGAUGGUACUUGGUGGGAAACUGCCUGGGAGAGUAGGACGUAGCCACGUGAAUAUUCCAAGGUAGCUCAACGGUGGAGCAACCGGCUGUUAACCGGU